rnacentral:rRNA from 1 species
AGCUUGCUGCUUUUUGUCGUCGACCGGCGCACGGGUGAGUAACGCGUAUCCAACCUUCCCAUAACAAAGGGAUACUCCGUAGAAAUGCGGUCUAAUACCUUAUGUUCUCUUUAUUAGGCAUCUUAUAUAGAGCAAAGAAUUUCGGUUAUGGAUGGGGAUGCGUCUGAUUAGCUUGUUGGCGGGGUAACGGCCCACCAAGGCAUCGAUCAGUAGGGGUUCUGAAAAGGAAGGUCCCCCACAUUGGAACUGAGACACGGUCCAAACUCCUACGGGAGGCAGCAGUGAGGAAUAUUGGUCAAUGGGCGGAAGCCUGAACCAGCCAAGUAGCGUGCAGGAUGACGGCCCUAUGGGUUGUAAACUGCUUUUACAGGGGAAUAAAAAGGAACACGUGUGUUCUGUUGCAUGUACCCUGUGAAUAAGGACCGGCUAAUUCCGUGCCAGCAGCCGCGGUAAUACGGAAGGUCCUGGUGUUAUCCGGAUUUAUUGGGUUUAAAGGGAGC